UAAAGGCUCACCAAGGCAAAGACGGGUAGCCGGUGUGAGAGCACGACCGGCCGCAUCGGGACUGAGACACUGCCCGGACUCCUACGGGAGGCUGCAGUAGCGAAUAUUCCACAAUGCGCGAAAGCGUGAUGGAGCAAUGCCGCGUGAAGGAUGAAGCCCCUCGGGGUGUAAACUUCUGUCAGGACCUAGGAAUUUUGACCGGGUCCAGAGGAAGGGCCGGCUAACUUCGUGCCAGCAGCCGCGGUAAUACGAAGGGCCCAAGCGUUGCGCGGAAUCACUGGGCUUAAAGCGUGCGCAGGCGGAUUGGCAAGUACCUUGUGAAAUCCCACAGCUCAACUGUGGAACUGCUUGGUAAACUGCCAAUCUUGAGCCCGACAGAGGUCGUCGGAACGAUAGGUGGAGCGGUGAAAUGCGUAGAUAUCUAUCGGAACGCCAAAGGUGAAGACAGGCGACUGGGUCGGCGCUGACGCUCAGGCACGAAAGCGUGGGUAGCGAACGGGAUUAGAUACCCCGGUAGUCCACGCCCUAAACGAUGUGCACUAGAUCGAGGAGGUUUUGACGCCAUCUCGGUCGAAGUAAAAACGUUAAGUGCACCGCCUGGGGAGUACGGUCGCAAGGCUACAACUCAAAGGAAUUGACGGGGGCUCACACAAGCGGUGGAGCAUGUGGCUUAAUUCGAAGCUACGCGAAGAACCUUAUCCAGGGUUUGACAUGCACGGAUUAUUGAUCCGAAAGGUGAUAAACGCUCUUUGAGUGGAACGUGCACAGGUGCUGCAUGGCUGUCGUCAGCUCGUGCUGUGAAGUGUCGGGUUAAGUCCCUUAACGAGCGAAACCCCUGUCGCUAGUUGCUAGCGGGUCAUGCCGAGGACUCUAGCGAGACUGCCGGUGUCAAACCGGAGGAAGGUGGGGACGACGUCAAGUCAUCAUGGCCUUUAUGCCCUGGGCUGCACACGUGCUACAAUGGUGCGUACAGACCGAAGCAAUACCGCAAGGUGGAGCAAAUCGGAAAAAGCGCGCCCCAGUUCGGAUUCUGGUCUGCAACUCGACCACAUGAAGGUGGAAUCGCUGGUAAUCGCGUAUCAGC
rnacentral:rRNA from 1 species